rnacentral:lncRNA from 1 species
CCCAGAAUGUGACCUCUAAAAGGGAGAUGGUUGGGGUGUGGACUAAAGCAGCUACUCAAGAAGGAGGAACUGACUGGCCUCCAGCUAGGGCCUCAAAAGUAGAUCAAGGCAGCAUUUUAACACUACAUUAUUCCUACCUAAUUCCCCACUCCUCUGAAGUAUGGACUCUGGCAGGGUAGUGAUGGUUUCUCUCCAGUUCAUUGGUGUAGUGUUAGGACCUAGAAUAGUACUUUCCUCGAUAGUAUUUCCUGGGUAAGUGCUCAGUUAAUAAUUGUCGAAAGAAAGAAUGUAUAUAAUUUCUUCAAAAAAAUUGAAUGAAUACAAGGAGAAAAUUUAUAGAUAUGUUAAGAGACCCAUUGGAAAAUCUCCAGUAAGCUCAGGUUUUUGGAAGAUGGUGGCCAGAUUCAAAAGUGGAGUUUUCAAUGUGAGAGAAAAGUUCACAACAAGCGUAUCCUUACAUAUCCUGAACCAUACAAAAAUGAUGCUGCCAGCAUUACAUGAAGCAAGGCAAAGGAAAAAGAGAAGCCCACUAUUUGAGGAAUAAAAAAAUGAUGUCAUCUCACAUGUUAGAAAUAAACUUCAGGACGAUGCAAUUCUGAAUUGUCUCCAUCCAUAUCCACGUGGGAAAUAUGAUUUAUUAUGGACAUCUAAUUUUUGCUCCUCUAAUUUUGUAUCCAUUCCUCCUUCCUUUGGUGUUAACAACAGAAUCUUCAGGGGACCACUCAUUCUCUCCUCUUCAGUCAUGAGGCUCUACAGGUGACUUCAGCUCAUGCUCAGAUCUGACCCAUCAGAAUCAAGUGAAUAGUCUGAGAUCAGAUUUAUGAUGCGGACAAAGCUGAUGAGAAUACGCCCUGUAGUUCUGCUGGAACAUUGGGAAAAAGAAGUCCUCUUUCUGCUGGAGCUUCAAGCUCAUAGAAUGAAGACGGCGUGCUGGGGACCAUCUUGUAACCAUCAAAGGCAAGCCCAUGUGAGACUGAAGCCAGUAGAGAGGAAAACAGAACCAAAAGAUGGAGACAGAUGUUGGACAGUUCUCCUGGAGUACCUUAGGCUUUUAUUUACAUUAGUCCAUAAAAUCCUUUUGUUUUCUAGUUGGGGUUUGAAACUGGGUUUCUUUAGCUUUUAAAUGAAAGGGGUUCUGCCUAAUUCAAGAUAUGAACGGACAAAGGUGAAUAAGCAGCGUGGAGGUAGAAUGCAGCCCCGUACAGGUGAGAUCACAGGUGGCAUCGGAGAGGAAGGGGGAAGACGGUUGCUCCAAAUGAGGUGACAACCCGAGUCCUCAAAGAUUGCAUCCCAGGGUGCUAGAAGGAAUGUCAGAUGGUCUCAGAGCCAAAGUCAGUGAUCCUAGAAAUCAAGACGUCAAGGAAUGUAAGAACAAACAUCGGCAUGUUUUGUCCCCGUUUUUUGUUUUGUUUUGUUUUGUUUUGUUUGUUUUUUGAGAUGGAGUCUCGCACUGUCACUGGGGAGGAAGUGAGAUGGCGCCAUCUCGGCUCGCUGCAACGUCCGCCUCCCAGGUUCACGCGAUUCUCCUGCCUCAGCCUCCUGAGUCGCUGGGACUACAGGCGCACACUACCACAUCCGGCUAACUUUUUGUAAUUUUAGUAGAGACAGGUUUCAGACGGAGUUUCGGUCUUGUUGCCCAGGCUGGAGUGUAGUGGUGCGAUCUCCCUCACUGCAACUUCCACCUCCCAGGUUCAAGCAGUUCUCCUGCCUCAGCCUUCCCAGUAGCUGGAAUUACAGGCAUGCACCACCACGCCCAGCUAAUUUUGUAUUUUUAGUAGAGAUGGGGUUUCUCCAUGUUGGCCAGGCUGGUCUUGAACUCCUGACCUCAGGUGAUCCACCCGCCUCAGCCUCCCAAAGUGCUGGGGUUACAGCGUGAGCCGCCCCACCCAGCCGUGCCCCCAUUUAUAAUAAAGUGUAACCUGAACACUAUAACACACUGAACUGAACUUUAAUUCCAUGGAGUUCCAACACAGCAAAGAGAUGGUUUAUGGACAUUUGAGAAAAACAAAUCACUUGCAGCUAACAUAUAUACUCACUUGCUAAACUCACAACUUUGCUUUAAAAGUAAAGUUUUGUGAUUGGCAGAUAAUGAAAUGCCUAAGAUAUAAUAACUAUAAUAAUGAUAAUAAUGAUAAUAAUGACACUUCCUGAAGACAGGCCCCUUAUGCAUCUUAUUCAUAGCUCCGUCCCUUCACCUAGAACAGUGGCUAACACACAAUAGGUGAUCAAUACAUAUUUCUCGAAUAAAUGAACAACAAGGCUCGUAUUUAUUGAACACUAUGUGCCAGAGAAAGACAUGGAAAUAAAAUUUAUUAAAAUUACAGAUAAUGAUUAUAAUAACAACACUUACAGAACAAACUGUGUGGCAGGAAUCAAUUUAAAGUAUUUUACAUAUAUUACAUCUAUUAACUUCAUUAAAUACUACAGACUGAAUUGGAUCUCCCUCAAAAAAAAUCAUAUGUUGAAACCUGAACCCUCAGUAUCUUAGAACGUAACUAUAUUUGGAGCUAGAUAGGGCCUUUAAAGAGGUGAUUAAGUUAAAAUGAGGUCAUUAGGGCAGGCUCUAAUCUAUGACUAGUAUCCUUAUAAGAAGAAGAGAUGAGGUCUGGGCAUAGUGGCUCAUGCCUGUAAUCCCAGCACUGCAGGAGGCUGAGGCAGGAGGAUCCCUUGAGGUCAGGAAUUUGAGACCAGCCAGGGCAACAUAGAAAGAUGCCUGUGUCUACAAAAAACAUUUUUAAAAAGUUAGCCAUGUGUGGCUGUAUGCACCUCUAGUCCCAGCUACUCAGGAGGCUGAAGUGGGAAUAUUGCUUGAGCCUAGGAGUUUGAGGCUGCAGUGAGCCAUGAUCGCCACUGCACCCCAGCCUGGAUGACAGAGUGAUUCUGUCAAAGAAAAGAAGCAAGAGAUGAUUAGGACUCAGACACACACAGAAGGAUGGCUAUAUGGGAACGCAGGGAGAAGAUGGCUAUCCUUAAGCCAAGGAGAAAGGCCUUAGAAGAAACCAAUUUUGCUGACACUUUGAUCUAAGACUUCCAGCCUCCAGAAUUAUAAGGAAAUAAAUUUCUGUUUUGUAAGUCACUCAGUCUAGGCCACGUGUGGUGGCUCACACUUGUAAUCCUAGCACUUUGGGAGGCCAAGGUGGGUAGAUCACUUGAGGUCAGGAGGUCGAGACCAGCUUGGCCAACAUGGUAAAACCCUGUCUCUACUAAAAAAAACAAAAAUUAGCCUAAUGUGGUGGCAUGCACCUAUAAUUCCUGCUGCUAGGGAGGCUGAGGCAGGAGAAUCUCUUGAACCUGGGAAGUGGAGGUUGCAGUGAGCCAAGAUUGCACCACUGCACUCCAGCCUGGGAAACAGAGUGAGACUCUGUCUCAAAAAAAAAAAAAAAAAAAAAAAAAAAAAAAAGUUACUCAGUUUAUGGCACUAUGUUAUGGCAACCUUAACAAACUAAUCCAUUACUCUUGUAAUAACCAGGUAGUCUGACUUCAGGGUUCAUACUCCUAACCACUGUGUUACACUGGCUUGCACACAACAAUGGCUAACGUUAUUGGCCACUUGCCAAUAGCUGCUCAGUAGCAAGGUGGCUGCCUAAAAUGAAACCUUCUGUAGUGCCUCAUGCCUUUGUCAGUUUCCUUCAGCAUUUUGUUCCCACUUUUAUUACUUAUUCUUCUAUGUCUUGCUUGUUUUACCCAGGUGCGGUGUGCUUGCCCUUGGUCUGUGGUACUUGGGAAGAGACCCACAGGUUGCUAACUGAGAUCUCAUAGAAUCUCAUGGGAUCUACCAUCCUUUUCCAUAUAAUACGAUCAUUUGGUCAACUAAAUACCAGAGAAGUGUAAAGCAAAGAUCGUUUAUUCAUUCAACAGACUGACUUGCUCAGUUCUUUUUAUCUGCCAGACUGAUCACACACUGAGGCUGGAGAAGUGAAUUAUCUGUCAGCUAUGGCAUGCAGCUCUGCCAUCUUCUUGCUGUGAAAUGAAGUUGAUAUUCUUCUACAGAGGGCCGUUGUGAGGAUUAUUAAAUAAGAUGGUUUAUGCAAAGUGCUCAACACAAUGCUAGUGACGGAGAUGGCCUUAACUUUCCUCUAGGCUUGACUUGACUUUAGACAGACUUCUUUCUCACUUGGGGUCCUUCUCUUCCCUUUUUAGAGCAUUUACUUUAGAAAAUCAUAAUUGUGAAUUCUUUCUCUGCCCCUUUGAGAUGUAAAUCUUUUUAUUUUUAUUUUUGAGAUGAGGUUUCCCUCUUGUCGCCCACGCUGGAGUGCAGUGGUGUGAUCUUGGCUCAUCACAACCUCUGCCUCCUGGGUUCAAGAGAUUCUUCUGCCUCAGCUUCCCGGGUAGCUGGGAUUGCAGGUACCCACCACCACACCCGGCUAAUUUUUUGUAUUUUUAGUAGACACAGGGUUUCAUCAUGUUGGCCAGGCUGGUCUUGAACCUCUGACCUCAGGUGAUCCACCCACCUUGGCCUCCCAAAGUGCUGGGAUUAGAGGCAUGAGCCACUGUGCCCGACCAUAAAUCUUUUAGAUCGCACCGCUGCACUCCAGCCUGGGUGACAGAGCAGGACACCAUCUCAAAAGAAAAAAAAAAAUUCUCAUAUUGUUAAUGAAUUUGUGUUAUGUGGCUCAAUUAUAUUAAUAACAAUUGAAUUUCAAAUAAAAAAAAUUCUCUUGCCAGUGGACAACCCAAGAAUGUCUUUCUCUAGGACCUGGUAACCAUCCUUUUGAAAUGUAAUCAUCAUGGAAGAGAAUCCCUCUACCUAUGGGAGGGUAGGAGCCUAACUUUCAGUGGGCACCUUGCUCUGUGUUGUAAAAUUUCUUCCUGUCAAGAAGAUGCAAGAAAGCUUAUUUUCCUUUGGGUAAGGCCAAUUAGCAAGCACAGGUCACCUAUGGUCCAACUCACCCUGGCUCUUAAAAACUCCCCCACCUUCAAAA